rnacentral:lncRNA from 1 species
AGCAUAUUGGUGGCGUCGGGUGUCUACGCCAGCAAGGCCAUUUUUGCCAUGCCAUAGCUAGGCUUUUUCUGCACUAGUGUUAUUUGUUACAUUCAAUAGAAUAACGUGGUUUCAUGACUAAACCGUUCUGUUCAUUCGAAUUUCUUGCUGCAGUUAUGUGUGUCUCCACAUUAAGGUGAUUAUAAUAUCAGAUUUCUCCUUGAAUUAUAAUUACAUUUUGUCCUAAUUCUUUGACCUGUAUAUUAGGUGCAACGUGUCCGAGUCAACAUGAUACUACUAGGGAAGUGCAAACGUGGAGACACGGAACUCGAGGAUAUUUCCAUUAGCGAUAUGCUUAUGAUAUGUGUAAAUGUGUGACCAUUCACUUUCAUUUGAAUAGGUAUUGUAAUCUAUGUUGCCUUGAAUUGCUAAAAUAAGUUAUUGUCUAAAUGUG